GCACGCCUACGGGACGCAGCAGUAGGGAAUUUUCGGCAAUGGGGGGAACCCUGACCGAGCAACGCCGCGUGAAGGAAGAAGGAAUUCGUUCUGUAAACUUCUGUUAUAAAGGAAGAAAGACGGAUGGAGGAAAUGACAUCCGAGUGACGGUACUUUAUGAGCAAGCCACGGCUAACUACGUGCCAGCAGCCGCGGUAAUACGUAGGUGGCAAGCGCUAUCCGGAAUUAUUGGGCGUAAAGAGGGAGCAGGCGGCAGCAAUGGUCUGUGGUGAAAGACUGAAGCUUAACUUCAGUAAGCCAUAGAA
rnacentral:rRNA from 1 species